rnacentral:rRNA from 1 species
CUUCGGACAAUAUACAAGGUGCUGCAGUGGUUGUCGUCAGCUCGUGCCGUGAGGUGUCGGGUUAAGUCCCAUAACGAGCGCAACCCUAUCAUUAGUUGCCAUCAGGUCAAGCUGGGGACUCUAAUGAAACUGCCUACGCAAGUAGUGAGGAAGGUGGGGAUGACGUCAAAUCAGCACGGCCCUUACGUCCAGGGCUACACACGUGCUACAAUGGCCGGUACAAAGGGCAGCUACCUGGUGACAGGAUGCUAAUCUCAAAAGCCGGUCUCAGUUCGGAUCGGAGUCUGCAACCCGACCCCGUGAAGCUGGAAUCGCUAGUAAUCGCGCAUCAGCCAUGGCGCGGUGAAUACGUUCCCGGGCCUU